UGCGUAGGCGGAAGAAUAAGUCAGUGGUGAAAUCCUGCAGCUCAACUGUAGAACUGCCAUUGAAACUAUUUUUCUUGAGUUUAGUUGAGGUGGGCGGAAUGUGUCAUGUAGCGGUGAAAUGCUUAGAUAUGACACAGAACACCGAUUGCGUAGGCAGCUCACUAAACUAUCACUGACGCUGAGGCACGAAAGCGUGGGGAGCGAACAGGAUUAGAUACCCUGGUAGUCC
rnacentral:rRNA from 1 species